AAGUUUCCCAGGCAAUUUUCCCAAAGGGUGUGAAUGUGAAACCUAGAUCAUCAGGGAAGGAGGAAAGGGGAAUGAAAGCAGAUUUCUGAGAUAUCUGUCAUUCAAAGGCACUCUUGAAAGACAUCCAUUGGAUUUCCAGCAUGGCAGAGGGAGCCCUGUCUACACAGUGGCCUUUGAGGAACAGACAGGUUGUAAUGUCAGGAUAUGAGGUUGAAAGGGC
rnacentral:lncRNA from 1 species